rnacentral:tRNA from 1 species
UCCUCAGUAGCUCAGUGGUAGAGCCAUUGACUAUUAAUCAUUUGAUCUGUUUCAAGACCUCCCAGGGGCCA